CCUACGGGAGGCUGCAGUAGGGAAUCUUUCACAAUGGGCGAAAGCCUGAUGGAGCAACGCCGCGUGCAGGAUGAAGGCCUUCGGGUUGUAAACUGCUUUUAUAAGCGAGAAAUAUGAUGGUAACUUAUGAAUAAGGAUCGGCUAACUACGUGCCAGCAGCCGCGGUCAUACGUAGGAUCCGAGCAUUAUCCGGAGUGACUGGGUGUAAAGAGUUGCGUAGGUGGCAUAAUAAGUAGCUAGUGAAAUCUGGUGGGUCAACCAUUCAGACUAUUAGCUAAACUGUUAAGCUCGAGACCGUUAGGGGUAACUGGAAUUUCUAGUGUAGGAGUGAAAUCCGUAGAUAUUAGAAGGAACACCAAUAGCGUAGGCAGGUUACUGGGACGGUUCUGACACUAAGGCACGAAAGCGUAGGGAGCAAACGGGAUUAGAUACCCCUGUAGUC
rnacentral:rRNA from 1 species